ensembl:lncRNA
AUGUUCGCCCCGAAAUGUAUCCUCGCAGCCCUUCACCCGCAGUCCACCGGUUGCUUCUGCACCGCAGGGCAGCGCUCCUGCAGGGCGCAAACACCCAGGAACCCAGGGACCCAGGGACCCCGCGCGGGCCUCUCGCGUGCAACGCUCAGCGACAGGUCCUUCGCGGACGGCGGGAUGCGCCAGGAGACCGCGAGGCCGCCGCGGCCCGGCGAGCUCCCGGAGGGAAGGCGGAGCGCCAGCAAGGAUGGGACCCCAGCGAUGGCUCCGCACCAGCCUCGCGCGGCCGCCCCCUCCCGCUCAGCCGCCGGGACCCCCCGCCAGCGCCGAACUUCGCAAGUGGGAAGGAUCGAGUCACGCCACCUCCGGGAGCUCGCGCGCUCAUCCGUUUUCGGGAGUGCCAGGGCCCGAACCGGGCACCCGGCGAGCACCCACGGAUCUGGCAUCGCAGCGCGCAGCGCGCCCCAGCCCGCGCCCCACCGAACUCACCCAAAGUUGGCCCCAAGUGGCGACGGCGUUCUCGGGGCGCUCGCCCGCCGUCUCAGCGCGCCCCCGAGUGGGGGCUGGGCCUGCGGGGAACCUCGCCCAGGCCGCACGUCCACAUGGUGCCUGUGCCUUCGCCAGCGCCCGCCCUCGGCUCCCGCGCCCGCCCCCGGCUCCCCGCGCCCGCUCCCGGCCGUCCAGCUCGGCGCCGGCGCCUCACGCUCCCCGCGCGCCGGAUCCCUCCGCCCCGGCCACGCCCGCCGGCGCCGGCGCUCGUUUCUCGGGCGCGGAAACUCGAGCAGACUUUCCCCCGCCGCGGGUUCGGGGCCCGCGGUCCGGCCACGCCGCCCCGCCUGGGAUCAAAGAGCCCAGUCCCUGCGAACGCCGGCUCCGAACUGGGAGACUAGAGGGCGCCCGGGGUGGUCUAGCGCGGCGCGGAGGGGCAGGGAGGCCGAGGUUAGUCACCGCCGGCCACAGGCGCGGUGCAAGGAACAGGGGAAUGCGCCCGCCAGGAAAGGGAAACGUUAG